CUAUGAACAACCAUGACAUAAUAAAACUCUUCAGGAGAAAAUCUAUAAGCAAAUUGCAAAAAAGCUUGAAAUAUAGACAAAAUCAUAUGAUGUAAAAAAAAAAAUUGUUGCCAUCAAGUUAUGCAUCACAAGUGAAAACUCUCUCCACCUUCCAUGAAGGGUUAAAGAGGUAACUCUAAUGUACAAAAGACAAUACAAAACAUUACACCGGGAGAAAAAAAAUUGAACCAAUACAAACCUCUUCCAGAAAGAGGGGACUCUAAUAUGAACCACAAACACAUACACAGACACUAGCACGACAUGGACAUUGACAGGUCGACUACGAUAAUAAUUCGAAAAAAUGACAUACUUGAAUAUAAUCAUCUGUGUCGGUGACAAGCAUAAUCUGAGGAGUGUCUGUCUGUGCUUUAUGAGACUAUCACAAUACCCUCUUUACACAAAGUAUCGCGAAGGAAUCAACUCUAGGUUACAAAACAAAUCCUAGCAACACUAAAAAAAGUAUGACCCUUCUUUAGUUUGAGCUAGUUCAACCCAAUCUUAAUCUUCACUGCCUGCACCAAUGCAACAAAACAAACAU
rnacentral:lncRNA from 1 species